CAUGGAAGAAGGGGACCCAAGCCCCCAUGGAUGGACCAGGCUUUAGGUUGGAAAGAUAACUCCUCAAUAAAGAUUUCCUGGGUUAUUGCCUCUUCUGCUGAUACGUCUCACUGCUGAGUUUGUCAUCCUAAACCUCAUUCAGUGAGAUGGCUUAAUCGAAUUGUCUGGGCAGAGUUCAUGAGAUUGCCUUCACCAGAGAUGAUGUUGAUCAG